CCUACGGGGGGCAGCAGUGAGGAAUAUUGGUCAAUGGACGAGAGUCUGAACCAGCCAAGUAGCGUGAAGGAUGACUGCCCUAUGGGUUGUAAACUUCUUUUAUAUGGGAAUAAAAUGUUCCACGUGUGGGAUUUUGUAUGUACCAUAUGAAUAAGGAUCGGCUAACUCCGUGCCAGCAGCCGCGGUAAUACUGAGGAUCCGAGCGUUAUCCGGAUUUAUUGGGUUUAAAGGGAGCGUAGGUGGAUUGUUAAGUCAGUUGUGAAAGUUUGCGACUCAACCGUAAAAUUGCAGUUGAAACUGGCAGUCUUGAGUACAGUAGAGGUGGGCGGAAUUCGUGGUGUAGCGGUGAAAUGCUUAGAUAUCACGAAGAACUCCGAUUGCGAAGGCAGUUCACUGAACUGCAACUGACACUGAGGCUCGAAAGUGUGGGUAUCAAACAGGAUUAGAUACCCCGGUAGUC
rnacentral:rRNA from 1 species